UUAUUGAGAUAUAUUUCUUCUUGUAUGAGUUUUGACAGAUUGUGCCUUUCAAGGAAUUGGUCCAUUUCAUCUAGGUUAUCAAAUUAUUGGGCAUAGAAUUGCUCAUAGCA